UACGAAGGGGGCUAGCGUUGCUCGGAAUCACUGGGCGUAAAGCGCACGUAGGCGGGCUCUUAAGUCGGUGGUGAAAUCCUGGAGCUCAACUCCAGAACUGCCUCCGAUACUGAGAGUCUUCGAGUCCGGGAGAGGUGAGUGGAACUGCGAGUGUAGAGGUGAAAUUCGUAGAUAUUCGCAAGAACACCAGUGGCGAAGGCGGCUCACUGGCCCGGUACUGACGCUGAGGUGCGAAAGCAUGGGGAGCGAACAGG
rnacentral:rRNA from 1 species